GGAGUUGUGGCUCAGUGGUAGAGCACUCACCUAGCACAUGUGAGGCACAGGGUUCAAUUCUCAGCACCA
rnacentral:tRNA from 1 species